rnacentral:rRNA from 1 species
UCCAUUCAUACUUGUAUCCAUGCUAGCUAGUUUUUGGAUGUGCAUGUGUGCCAAUUUGGUGCAUUUGCAUUUUCAGACACUAGUUUGCAAAAUUUCUUUGUGUCUGCCUUUCAUCUCUUAGUGAUUGUGCUUCUUAGUCCAUCAAGAAAGCUAGUAUGGUGCUCUGCCUUGCCUUUUGUUGUGCCUUUUAAUGUAAUCCAUCGUAUGUUGGCCUAUUUGAGGGGGAUAAAAAACACUUUAGGCGAUUUUGGCGACUUCAAAUGGCAGUCUGGGCAUUAUUUUUUUGGGGUUUUUAUUCAAUCUUAGCCGUGUGUUGGUGACAGGCGAUGGAGAAUUCGGUUUCUAUUAUGGAAAUGGAGCAUGAGGAAUGACUACCACAUCGAAGGGAGCCAAUAGGCGCGCAAAUUACCCAAUCCUGACACGGGGAGGUAGUGACAAUAAAUAACAAUAUUGAGUUCUAUGAGUCUCCUAAUUGGAAUGAGUACCAUCUAAAUCCCUUAACAAGGAUCCAUUGGAGGGAAAGUCUAGUGCCAGCAGCCGCGUAAUUCUAGCUCCGAUAGCGUAUAUUUAAGUUGUUGCAAUUAAAAAGCUCAUAGUUGGACUUUGGCUUGGGCCAGCCAGUCUCCCUAGGGUGUGCACUGAUUGUCCUUCUACCGGCAAUGCGCUUCUGGUCUAUCCUUCUACCGGCGAUGCGCUUCUGGUCUUAAUUGACCGGGUCAUGCCUCCGGUGCUAUUACUUUGAAGAAAUUAGAAUGCUUUAAGCAAGCCCAAGCUCUGGAUACAUUAGCAUGGGAUAAGACCAUAAGAUUCCGGUCCUAUUGAGUUCGCCUUCUAGAUCUGAGUAAUAAUUAACAAGGACCAUCGAGGGCAUACAUUUUCAUAGUUAGAGGUGAAAUUCUUGGAUAUAUUAAAGACGAACUACUGCGAAAGCAUUUGCAAAGGAUGUUUUCAUUAAUCAAUAAUGAAAGUUGGGGGCUCAAAGAUGAUCAGAAAUCGUCCUAGUCUCAACCAUAAAUGAUGCCGGCCAGGGAUCGGCAGAUGUUGCUUGUAGGACUCCGCCAACAUCUUAUGAGAAAUCAAAGUUUUUGGGUUCCGGAGGAGUAUGGUCGCAAGGCUGAAACUUAAAGGAAGGGCACCACUAGGAGUGGAGCUUGUGGCUUAAUUUGAUUCAACAUGGGGAAACUUACCAAGUCCAGACAUAGUAAGGAUAGACUUAGAACACUUUCUUGAUUCAGUGGGUGGUGAUGCAUGGUUAAUUUCGUUAUAUGUUCUUGGACUGGUUAAUUUUGUUAACGAGCAAGACCUCAAUCUGCUAACGAGCCAUGUGUAGGUGACCCUCUAUGGCCAGCUUCUUAGAGGGACUAUGGCCAUUUAGGCCACAAAAGUUUGAGGCAAUAACUGGUCUGUGAUGCCCUUAGAUGUUCUUGGCCGCAAGCACGCUAAACUGAUAUAUUCAACGAGUCUAUAGCCUUGGCUGAUAGACCCGGGUAAUCUUUGAAAAUUUCAUUGUGAUUGGGAUAGAUCACUGCAAUUGUUGGUCUUCAAUAAAAAAUUCCUAGUAAGAGCUCGCAUUGACUAUGUCUCUGCCAUUUGUAUACACCGCCUAUUGCUCCUACUGAUUGAAUUGUUCAGUGAAGUGUUCAAAUUGCACCGACAUGAUAGGUUCACCGUCGAUGACGUUGUGGGAAGUUAACUGAGCCUUAUCAUUUAGAGGAAGAAGAAGUUGUAACAAGGUUUCUGUAAGUGAACCUGCGGAUU